AGGACAAACGCUGGCGGCGUGCAUAACACAUGCAAGUCGAACGAGCCUAGCGAUAGGCGAGUGGCGGACGGGUGAGGAACACGUGGAUGACCGACCUUUUACUGGGGAAUACCCGUGGGAAACCACGGCUAAUACCGCAUACGUUCUGCAAAGAAGAAAGCCUUCGGGCGGUAAGAGACGGGUCUGCGGUCGAUUAGCUAGUUGGUGCGGUAAUGGCGUACCAAGGCGACGAUCGAUAGCUGGUCUGAGAGGAUGAUCAGCCACAUUGGGAUUGAGAACGGCCCAAAUCCCUACGGGGAGCAGCAGUGAGGAAUAUUCGGCAAUGGGCGCAAGCCUGACCGAGCGACGCCGCGUGGGGGAUGACGCAUUUCGGUGUGUAAACCCCUUUUCUGUGGGACGAGAAUGGACGGUACCACAGGAAUAAGUCUCGGCUAACUACGUGCCAGCAGCCGC
rnacentral:rRNA from 1 species